rnacentral:rRNA from 1 species
UACAGAGGUGGCAAGCGUUGUUCGGAAUUACUGGGCGUAAAGGGCGCGUAGGCGGCCUACUAAGUCAGACGUGAAAUCCCCCGGCUUAACCUGGGAACUGCGUCUGAUACUGGAAGGCUUGAGGAUGGGAGAGGGAUGUAGAAUUCCAGGUGUAGCGGUGAAAUGCGUAGAUAUCUGGAGGAAUACCGGUGGCGAAGGCGGCUCUCUGGACCAGCACUGACACUGAGGCACGAAAGCGUGGGGAGCAGACAGG